CUACGGGAGGCUCCAGUGGGGAAUAUUGCACAAUGGGCGCAAGCCCGAUGCAGCAACGCCGCGUGAGCGAUGAAGGCCUUCGGGUCGUAAAGCUCUGUCCUCAAGGAAGAAUCAAUGACGGUACUUGAGGAGGAAGCCCCGGCUAACUACGUGCCAGCAGCCGCGGUAAUACGUAGGGGGCAAGCGUUAUCCGGAAUCACUGGGCGUAAAGGGUGCGUAGGUGGUUCAACAAGUCAGAAGUGAAAGGCAUUGGCUCAACCAAUGUAAGCUUUUGAAACUGUUGAACUUGAGUGCAGGAAGGAAAGUGGAAUUCCUAGUGUAGAGGUGAAAUUCGUAGAUAUUAGGAGGAACACCAGUGGCGAAGGCGACUUUCUGGACUGUAACUGACACUGAGGCACGAAAGCGUGGGGAGCGAACAGGAUUAGAUACCCCUGUAGUC
rnacentral:rRNA from 1 species